AAAAGGGAACACAGCUAACCUAAAAUCUAUUAUUCUCUUCUAGCGUCUUCUCCGCCAAGAGCUUCUUCCUCUCUUCAAUGGCGAUUUGUUCUUCUUCUUCGAACGGUUAAAUCCGUCUGUCUCUAUUCUAUAUUUAUGCUUAGUUGUUCAUAUGCAGUAAACUGUCUAGCAAAUCUGAUCAGAAUUUGCCAUGUUUGCAUCCGCUACAAAGUUUCUACAGAAGCUCUAGAGCAAUAUAUUAUGCUCGUGUUUUGUUUCAAGUCUUGGUGAAAACGUUUCCGCGGAAAAUCUCCUCAAGGUAUUGAAGUUUAUCAGAAACUAGUUGGAUCGGUUUAUGGAUGGUGUAUGUUUCUUUUCAAGAAUUUCAAAGAUACAGAACCAUGAGCGCGGGAGACUUUGUAGUCCUCCAUGGUUAAAAAUAUGAUACUCAUUAAUGAUCCAACGUCUGACAUCACUGUUUCUGAUAUUAAAUAAGACAACACAGGGGAUCUUCUUAGUAGUUCAUAUGCGGUACUUGACAAGACAAACUCGAUUGACGGAACAGUUCCAGAAGAAGUUAUGUUUCAGAGUGAUGUGAAGAAGCUACAACAGGAGCAGUUCAGGCCAGCAGAGCAAGUUUCAAUUUCAUCACAAGAGAUGUUGCAGUACAUCGUCUUGGAGUGAAACAUGAUCUUACAUGAGCGAUCUAUUGUACCAGCAAGACCUCUAAAACGGCUUUGCCUUUCAUUUUUUUCUUUUGUGCACCAACAGCUUUGCCUUCCAAAUGCACGUUUCUUCACUCUUUUUUUUUUGUCCUGAUCCAUAUUAUCAUCAUUACUUCCCGAACAUACAAAAUGUUACCAAGUAAUCAAUUAGUUGUAUCUUGUAAGCUUUCGUUUCCUUGUUCAUGAUCCAAAUUUUGUAACCGUCACAAAAAUGAGCAAGUAAUUCUCAAUGUACA